GGUUGCCUCUCCUACUGUCAGGCUGUUGCCUGCACAGCUUCGCCUGGACACAGGGUCACUGCACAACAAUGCAAGGUGGCUACAGCUGAAAUAGCAGAAAUCCAGUACGAUUCUCCUUUUCCUCUGCAAUCAGUGUGCAGCUCAGGGGGCAGCAGUCUGUGCAUUCACACACUGGGCUGUGUUUUCCAGUUUGGUAACAGCCUGCAGCAUCUUUGAGCCCGCGUAUCUACUGGAAGGCCCAGGUGUUGCCCCUGCACAUGGGAAACCCCCUCACAGGAGAUGAUGAGCAGCCGGAGGUAGAAUAGAAGGAUGCUCGCACUAACCUCUGGGGGGUCGGCACAGCGGAGAGAAAGUCCUUGCAAUGAUCUGCCAGCAUUUUUCUUUCCCCACCGGGGAUCUCAGGGAAGAAGGCACGGGGUCAGCGCCUCGGCUCUGAGAGGCUCUCCUGCUGGCCCUCCGGAAGCACUUGAGGGCCAGGUGAAUUUAUUUCCUAUUGCUUCGUUUUUCCUCGCAGAUCUGACAGCUCAUAAUACCUCUGGUGCCUGACAGCCUCGCUCUUCCCCAAUUGAUAAAUAAUCUCUUUCUGAUUUGAGCAACCAAGGAACAUCUUGAGCCUGUCACACUGGAGGAGAUCCAUCAGCCUCUCGUGCCACGAGUGAGGUGUUUGAAAAAUGCUGUUUGCGCAGCCAUUCUGGGGUAUUAAUUCCUGGCAUCCCACUUUAUUUUGAUUGUUUCCUAAAGAACAACAACAUACUUUAACUCUUUGCAAAUGAAGCAGCAUUCUGUUGUUAUGGUAACUCAAGUUCUAAAAAUACUAUAAAGGAAAGACCACCUUUAAUUGAUAUCACAAGAAGUUGUUAUGGUAACUGGAAUUUUAAAAGUAACUAGGUUAAACUCCAUUUCUUUUUAUCCAGAGCUCUGCAUAAACAAAUUCUGAUUAAAAUAUCAGGUUUAAUUUAAUCAGUUAAUUAAUGUCACUAAAUGUCAUUUAUCUUGUAAGUCUCAUUUAUAUUCAGUGCAAAAUUACCUAACUUGCUGAGUUCUAACUAUUCUGCCUUCGGUCUGGUAUUUUGGAGUUGGAUGACUGUACAAUUUAUUUUUGGUCAUGGAGCGGUUAAAAAUGAACAUGCUGCUUUUAGAUCAUG